rnacentral:rRNA from 1 species
AUGUAUAUCGAUGUCAUUAACUCUAGUGUUAUUCCUAGCUCCAAACAUGUUUGGAAAGUGAAAGUUCCUUUGAAGAUUAAAAUGUUUAUGUGGUUUGUGCAUAAACAAGUAAUCUUAACAAAGGAUAAUUUGGUUAAGCGUAACUGGACAGGAUCUACUAGGUGUAUUUUUUGUGAUCGGGACGAGACUAUCAAGCACCUCUUCUUUGAUUGUCCAUUGACGAGAGUGCUGUGGCGCACCGUGCACAUUGCCUUUAACAUUACUCCCCCGAAUUCGGACAGUACGUUAUUUGGAACGUGA